rnacentral:rRNA from 1 species
AUUGGUCAAUAGCCUAACGGCUGAACCAGCAACUUGGAGGAAUGUAUAGCAAUAGCUACUUGCAUCAUUGUAAAUAUGAUGCAAGAUCGACUAUGUCGAAUAAAAUUCUAGGUAGAAUUAUGAUAAUGACAUUGUCUGCCUAUGUGUCUUGACCAAAUUACGUGCCAGCUGUCGCGGUAAUACGUAGAAGACUAGUGUUAUUCAUGUUUAAUCGGUUUAAAGGGUACCUAGACGGUAAAUCAAGCCUAAAAAGAAGGAAAUAAAGGGACUAAUUUACUAGAGUUACUUAUGAGGGGGUAUUAAAGUACUGCUGGUGUAGAGAUGAAAUUCUGUCAUACCUCUUUUCAAUAGAAAAAUAAUGGCACAGGUAUAGGCGAAGGCAUCCCCUUAUGUGAUAACUGACGUUGAGGGACGAAGGCUUUGUGUAGCGAACAGGAUUAGAUACCCCAGUAGUCAAAGCAGAAAAUGAUGAAUGUCAUAGAUUAGAUAUAUAAGUUUAUUCUAUAAAUGAAAGUGUAAGCAUUCCACCUCAAGAGUAAUUUGGCAACAUUGGAACUGAAAUCAUUAGACCGUUUCUGAAACCAGUAGUGAAGUAUGUUGUUUAAUUUGAUAAUCCGCAAAAAACCUUACCACAAUUUGAAUAUUUAUAUUUUUUUUUAUGGUUUUUCUUUUUAAUUAUCUUCCGAUUUUCUAGUUAAAGGAAAACUAGAAGAAAAAGAAAAAAAAGGCAAUAAGAUAUAUUUACAAGCGUUGCACGGCUGUCUUCAGUUAAUGUCGCGAGACUAUGGUUAGUUCCAUUAAAUUAACGUAAACCCUUACUUUAUUUUUAUAUAGAGUAGUUCCCCGCUAUAUUGGAUAUGAUAACAGGGACUAAGACAAGUCAUCAUGGCCUGCUGAGCGAUAUAGGAAAUCCCUUGUGUGGGUAAA